rnacentral:rRNA from 1 species
GGGAUCCGGCAGCUAUACAUGCAGUCGUGGGGCAGCAGGGGUAGCAGUACCCGCUGGCGACCGGCAAACGGGUGCGGAACACGUACGCAACCUUCCUUUAACUGGAGAAUAGCCCCUCGAAAGAGGGAUUAAUACUCCGUAACAUAUAAAUGUGGCAUCACAAUUAUAUUAUAGCUCCGGCGGUUAAAGAUGGGCGUGCGCCUGAUUAGAUAGUUGGCGGGGUAACGGCCCACCAAGUCUGCGAUCAGUAACUGGUGUGAGAGCACGACCAGUCACACGGGCACUGAGACACGGGCCCGACUCCUACGGGAGGCAGCAGUAAGGAAUAUUGGUCAAUGGACGCAAGUCUGAACCAGCCAUGCCGCGUGGAGGAUUAAGGCCCUCUGGGUUGUAAACUCCUUUUAUCUGGGAAGAAAUGCAUUUUUUCUAAAGUGCUUGACGGUACCAGAGGAAUAAGCACCGGCUAACUCCGUGCCAGCAGCCGCGGUAAUACGGAGGGUGCAAGCGUUAUCCGGAUUCACUGGGUUUAAAGGGUGCGUAGGCGGGCAGGUAAGUCCGUGGUGAAAUCUCUGAGCUUAACUCAGAAACUGCCAUGGAUACUAUUUGUCUUGAAUAUUGUGGAGGUAAGCGGAAUAUGUCAUGUAGCGGUGAAAUGCUUAGAUAUGACAUAGAACACCAAUUGCGAAGGCAGCUUACUACACAGUUAUUGACGCUGAGGCACGAAAGCGUGGGGAUCAAACAGGAUUAGAUACCCUGGUAGUCCACGCCCUAAACGAUGAUUACUCGACAUCAGCGAUACACUGUUGGUGUCUGAGCGAAAGCAUUAAGUAAUCCACCUGGGAAGUACGAUCGCAAGAUUGAAACUCAAAGGAAUUGACGG